UACGUAGGUGGCAAGCGUUGUCCGGAUUUAUUGGGUUUAAAGGGUGCGUAGGCGGUUCCAUAAGUCAGUGGUGAAAUACGGCAGCUCAACUGUCGAGGUGCCAUUGAUACUGCGGAACUUGAGUACUGAUGAGGUAGGCGGAAUUGACGGUGUAGCGGUGAAAAUGCUUAGAUAUCGUCAAGAACACCGAUAGCGAAGGCAGCUUACCAAGCAGUAAACUGACGCUGAGGCACGAAAGUGCGGGGGAUCAAACAGG
rnacentral:rRNA from 1 species